rnacentral:rRNA from 1 species
AUGAACAACCUAAAAAAUCUAGACUACGAGGGAUCUGAUAAUGGAAUCAAAUACGCAGUAUUCACAGAAAAAAGUCUUCGUUUAUUGGGAAAGAAUCAAUAUACUUUUAAUGUCGAAUCGGGAUUCACUAAGACAGAAAUAAAGCAUUGGGUCGAACUCUUCUUUGAUGUUAAGGUGGUAGCUGUGAAUAGCCAUCGACUACCUGGAAAAGGUAGAAGAAUAGGACCUAUUCUGGGCCAUAUAAUGUAUUAUAGACGUAUGAUCAUUACCCUUCAACCGGGUUAUGCUAUUCCACUUCUAGAUAGAGAAAAAAACUAA